rnacentral:rRNA from 1 species
GUGAGGAAUAUUGGUCAAUGGGCGAGAGCCUGAACCAGCCAAGUCGCGUGAAGGAAGAAGGAUCUAUGGUUCGUAAACUUCUUUUGCAGGGGAAUAAAGUGCGGGACGUGUCCUGUUUUGUAUGUACCCUGAGAAUAAGGAUCGGCUAACUCCGUGCCAGCAGCCGCGGUAAUACGGAGGAUCCGAGCGUUAUCCGGAUUUAUUGGGUUUAAAGGGUGCGUAGGUGGUUUGAUAAGUCAGCGGUGAAAGUUUGCAGCUUAACUGUAAAAAUGCCGUUGAAACUGUCGGACUUGAGUGUAAAUGAGGUAGGAGGAAUGCGUGGUGUAGCGAUGAAAUGCAUAGAUAUCACGCAGAACUCCGAUUGCGAAGGCAGCUUACUAAGCUACAACUGACACUGAAGCACGAAAGCGUGGGGAUCAAACAGGAUUAGAUACCCCGGUAGUCC